rnacentral:lncRNA from 1 species
UAAAAAACUGAGGCUCUCUGGAACUGAUGACUCUGAAGGGAGCGGGGGGCCUCUGACAGCUGUGCAGAGCUCAGGUGGAGGCCUUGCGUGUGCUGACCGCUCCUCAGCUGUGUGGACGAGGCAGGCAAGCGUGAUCACAUUCGGGGUCCUCUGGCACUUCUCUGGAGGGUGCACCAUCAUUUCCCCUGUUCUCGGAAGAAGCAGUCGAGGUUCCAUGAGGGAAGGCAGAGAAUUGGAUCCCAUCUCCGCCCACUUGGCACCACCCUGAAGGGUCUGGAAGGAGAGAAAACUCUUGGAACUGCUCCCAAGUGAGUUUUGGGCUUCAUGCAUCAAACUCAGUAAAGACUAGAGGGAGGAUAAACAGAAUUUGAAAGCAGGGAAAACGGCCAGAGGUAGCCACAGCUGAUGUCAUGGGGGAGAAAGCAAAACCCCAAGAUGACAGAAUUGAGGUGCAAAGGAGUCUUCGGGCUCAAGGAGCUAAGAAUAGC